rnacentral:rRNA from 1 species
UAAAACCUACGGGGCGCAGCAGUGGGGAAUAUUGCACAAUGGGGGAAACCCUGAUGCAGCAACGCCGCGUGAGUGAAGAAGUAUUUCGGUAUGUAAAGCUCUAUCAGCAGGGAAGAAGAUGACGGUACCUGAAUAAGAAGCCCCGGCUAACUGCGUGCCAGCAGCCGCGGUAAUACGUAGGGGGCAAGCGUUAUCCGGAUUUACUGGGUGUAAAGGGAGCGCAGACGGCAGUGAAAGUCUGGAGUGAAAGCCCGGGGCCCAACCCCGGAACUGCUCUGGAAACUGUGCGG